rnacentral:tRNA from 1 species
GGGUGCGUGGCUCAGUGGUAGAGCGUCGUCCUGAUAAGACGAAGGUCCCUGGUUCGAUCCCAGGCGCACCCACCC